GGAAGUAGUGACAUAAAAUCCUCAUUUAAGUUUGAGAGACAGCCGCCGAAUCUUCUGUCUCAUGGAGUUGAUCCGUAACAUUUUAAAUAAUCACGUGCGUAUGAUACCUGUUGCCGGAAUUUUAAACGGUAAAUAAUAGAACAGCGUUUAACAUAGAAAAUUCGACAAAAGGGGCCAUACAGAAAAGGAAAUUCUUAGAGUUUGCACCACAAUACUGGGCACAAUAAAUAGCACAAGGUCUCCAUUGUGAACCAAUUUUGAAUUUUUGACCAAAAACUCAACAAAUGCCAUCAAUCAACCUUGUUCACCAGAUAUGGCCAGUGGUGAAUUUACACUAGGGGCAGUCCGGCAAGUGCCCAGGGCGGCAAAAUUUAGAAAGUGAAUUUUUUUCUUGUCAAGAUUUCUUUAUGUAAUUAAUUAAUUCUAUAAAUAAUAAUCUUCUGUUUAAUUGAUAAUUCAAGAAAUUCAAUUCAUCCAUUACGUAUGAAUUAUAAUUUUGGCACUUUGGUAAAAUUAAUAAUCAAAAUGAUUUAAUCAAUUUAUUUCCUUGGAGAAUUAAAAAAAUUAUCGACUUUUUAUUUACCAGAAUUGAAGAAAUUUAUAUUUUUUUUCGUGUAUAAUUACGAGUCAGCCUUAGUGUCAAAUUUAUAAUUUUUAAAAAAAUACACAUAUUUAUUUAUGUUUUUGGAAUAUAUCACAUAUUAUAAUAAAGUUUCUAGUAAAGUUGAAGAAAAUAUAUAAAGUAUAAGUUUCGGUAAAAUUUCGGUAAUGGGGCGGAUUUUUUUCCGGUGCCCAGGAGCGGUAUUAAGUUUAAAUCCGGCCCUGGAUAUGACUCCUACCUUCAGCUUCUUUUUCUUAAACUCAAAUAAUCAGUUUGUGGCACCUGUUUUCAAUCGAUAAAAGACAGAUGAGAAUUCAUAGUAAAAACUCAAUUCCAGAAAAAACGUUAAAAAAUGAUUUGAUGAUAGGAUUGUUUCUUGGUAUUAGCUUCGCCCCGCGGCGUCACCCGCAGUUAUUGUCGUACCGCGCAACAUGGCGGGCUUCGCCUAUCAAUAAUAAAAUUUAAUGUUUCCGAAGCGAAGCGAGGGCGGGUCGCUAGUAUUCAAUAAAACUGCACCAUUGCCUAAAGUAGUAUAGCCGAUGAAUGAAGUAAUAAAACAUGUUUUAUCAAAAUUGUGACAUGUGGUAUGAUAAUCCUACAUAUUUUUGUGUAAACAGGCUUAAAAUAAAAUCUUAAAAAGAAAAUGAUUUUCAAGUACAUACUGACUGACUUACUCGGUGGUGUAAAAAGACGAAUACGGGCUUCAGUAGCGGUGCAAAAGUGAUGUCUCAACACAUUGCUGACAACGAAGCGGUCAUCCCGAGUUGAAGUGCAUCCACGUCGGCCUUGAUCUGGCCUGCGCGUGUAUGAGCCCGUCUCCCGCAACCGUCUGAUUGCAUCCCGUACCGUGGUUCGAGGUACACCAAGUUUACGAGCGUUGCGAGGUUGGCUAUAACCAGCAUCGGCUAAAGCCACAGCCCUAGCUGCACCAGUUGCAUUGAGUGGCAUUUUUGCCAGUCACAAACAAUAAGCGAUUACCACAAACUUAAAUUAUUCACACACUAUGGCAGAACAGAACAGGAAAUGAUAACACAGUAACGCAACGGUAACAAUGUCAAACAACGACGAAAUUCUAAAAACCCAGUUAAUUGUGCCUGUGAGAAUAUAAGCAUGUUUACCAGUCAGUAUCCAUGGUAUCCAUAAGACAGGCAAUCCUAAAUUCAUGCCAGAUGACUGCAUGAUUUAUCCCCAGUUAUUGCAUUGGCAAUGUUCUUUUUAUUUUUUUUAUCCUACCUAAGCUGAUAGCCUUGAGAGGCUAUUUCAGCGGAACCUUAUCUAGUAGGUGAGCUCACGGGGCUCAAACCUGACGACGUUUCAAACACGAACCCUAGCAAAAGGCGUGCUUCACAGAACUACCACCAGAUGGGAAAUGCGACCCACUGAGAAGAUCCGGCGAUCUUUUUCUUACGAAAUGAGGUGUGCUUCAAAACUUUUGAAAAGUAUUGUGUUUAUAAAAAUAUAAAACAAA